rnacentral:rRNA from 1 species
UACAGAGAGUGCGAGCGUUAAUCGGAAUUACUGGGCGUAAAGCGCACGUAGGUGGAAUGCUAAGUCGGAUGUGAAAUCCCCGGGCUUAACCUGGGAAUUGCAUUCGAUACUGGUUUUCUAGAGUAUGGUAGAGGGAAGUGGAAUUUCCGGUGUAGCGGUGAAAUGCGUAGAUAUCGGAAGGAACAUCAGUGGCGAAAGCGACUUCCUGGACCAGUACCGACGUUCAGGCACGAAAGCGUGGGGAGCAAACAGG